rnacentral:rRNA from 1 species
CCGGAGUGCUUGCACUUUGGCAGACUGAGUGGCGGACGGGUGAGUAACGCGUGGGUAACCUGCCUUAUACAGGGGGAUAACAGUUGGAAACGACUGCUAAUACCGCAUAAGCCCACAGGUCGGCAUCGACCAGAGGGAAAAGGAGCAAUCCGCUUUGAGAUGGACCCGCGUCUGAUUAGGUAGUUGGUGAGGUAACGGCCCACCAAGCCGACGAUCAGUAGCCGACCUGAGAGGGUGACCGGCCACAUUGGGACUGAGACACGGCCCAGACUCC